GGUGAACGCUGGCGGCGUGCCUAAGACAUGCAAGUCGAGCGGGGCAGGUUUAUACCUGUUCAGCGGCGGACGGGUGAGUAACGCGUGGGUGACCUACCCGGAAGAGGCGGACAACCUGGGGAAACCCAGGCUAAUCCGCCAUGUGGUCCUGUCCUGUGGGGCAGGACUAAAGGGGCGACCCGCUUCCGGAUGGGCCCGCGUCCCAUCAGCUAGUUGGUGGGGUAAAGGCCCACCAAGGCGACGACGGGUAGCCGGUCUGAGAGGAUGGCCGGCCACAGGGGCACGGAAACACGGGCCCCACUCCUACGGGAGGCAGCAGUUAGGAAUCUUCCGCAAUGGACGGAAGUCUGACGGAGCGACGCCGCUUGGAGGAGGAAGCCCUUCGGGGUGUAAACUCCUGAACUGGGGACGAAAGCCCCGUGUAGGGGGAUGACGGUACCCAGGUAAUAGCGCCGGCCAACUCCGUG
rnacentral:rRNA from 1 species